rnacentral:rRNA from 1 species
GACGAACGCUGGCGGCGUGCCUAAUACAUGCAAGUAGAACGCACAGUUUAUACCGUAGCUUGCUACACCAUAGACUGUGAGUUGCGAACGGGUGAGUAACGCGUAGGUAACCUGCCUGGUAGCGGGGGAUAACUAUUGGAAACGAUAGCUAAUACCGCAUAAUAUUGAUUAUUGCAUGAUAAUUAAUUGAAAGGUGCAAUUGCACCACUACCAGAUGGACCUGCGUUGUAUUAGCUAGUAGGUGAGGUAACGGCUCACCUAGGCGACGAUACAUAGCCGACCUGAGAGGGUGAUCGGCCACACUGGGACUGAGACACGGCCCAGACUCCUACGGGAGGCAGCAGUAGGGAAUCUUCGGCAAUGGACGAAAGUCUGACCGAGCAACGCCGCGGGAGUGAAGAAGGUUGUCGGAUCGUAAAGCUCUGUUGUAAGAGAAGAACGGGUGUGAGAGUGGAAAGUUCACACUGUGACGGUAUCUUACCAGAAAGGGACGGCUAACUACGUG